CCUACGGGGGGCAGCAGUAGGGAAUAUUGCUCAAUGGGGGAAACCCUGAAGCAGCAACGCCGCGUGGAGGAUGAAGGUUUUCGGAUUGUAAACUCCUUUUGUUAGAGAAGAUAAUGACGGUAUCUAACGAAUAAGCACCGUCUAACUCCGUGCAAGCAGCCGCGGGAAUACGGAGGGUGCAAGCGUUACUCGGAAUCACUGGGCGUAAAGAGCGCGUAGGCGGGAUAGCAAGUCAGAUGUGAAAUCCUAUGGCUUAACCAUAGAACUGCAUUUGAAACUGUUAUUCUAGAGUAUGGGAGAGGUAGGUGGAAUUCUUGGUGUAGGGGUAAAAUCCGUAGAGAUCAAGAGGAAUACUCAUUGCGAAGGCGACCUGCUAGAACAUAACUGACGCUGAUGCGCGAAAGCGUGGGGAGCAAACAGGAUUAGAUACCCCAGUAGUC
rnacentral:rRNA from 1 species